UACGAAGGGGGCUAGCGUUGCUCGGAAUCACUGGGCGUAAAGCGCACGUAGGCGGAUUGCUAAGUCAGGGGUGAAAUCCUGGAGCUCAACUCCAGAACUGCCUUUGAUACUGGGAAGCUUGAGUUCGGGAGAGGUGAGUGGAACUGCGAGUGUAGAGGUGAAAUUCGUAGAUAUUCGCAAGAACACCAGUGGCGAAGGCGGCUCACUGGCCCGAUACUGACGCUGAGGUGCGAAAGCGUGGGGAGCAAACAGG
rnacentral:rRNA from 1 species